rnacentral:rRNA from 1 species
AUGAGAGGCCUCAUUUGGAACUGCCAUGGGGUAGGCAAGAAAGGGAUGGCCACCUGCCUCUCAAACAUGAUCAAUGACCACUCCCUUGAUUUCCUGGGCUUACAAGAAACUAUGCAAAAAGAUUUCUCCCCUAAAUGCUUGAGGAGAAUUGACCCCUUUGGCACCUUUCAAUGGAAUUGGAUUUCCUCUGUUGAGAAAUCUGGUGGCAUUCUGUGUGGUGUUAGGAGUGAUAAACUAGAGAUAGUCUCCUGUUCUAAGGGUAAACAUAUACUACAAUUGGUACUGCAGAACAGACAAAAUAAGCUUAAGUGGGGCUUGCUUGUAGUAUAUGGACCAGCUCAUGAAGAGUUGAAGGGAGAUUUUUUGAUUGAGCUGGUUGCCACCUGCAAUGGGAUGCAAGUGCCUUACAUUGUUGGGGGCGACUUUAAUAUCCUUAGACACUCUGGAGAGAAGAACAAGAAACACAAUAGUCACAAAUCUACUGAUCUGUUUAAUUCUAUCAUUAGUACUUUAGCUCCGCGUAAGAUCCAUAUUAAUGGAGGGAAAUAUACUUGGACUAAUCAACAGGCCCAUCCCACACUAGAAAAACUGGAUCGUAUCCUCAUGUAUGAAGAGUGGGAAAAUAUGUACCCACUUGUCUCUGUUCGGAAGCUGGUCCAAGAGAUCUCUCAUCACAAUCCCCUAUUGCUGUCUACGGGGGAGGAGGGGCGAGAUGCCCCCAAACCAAGGGAAUUUCCUUUUGAUCUAUCCUGGAUUAAAGAUGAUAGAUUCCUGCCGCUAGUCAGACAGAUCUAG